AUUGAACGCUGGCGGCAGGCUUAACACAUGCAAGUCGAGCGGGAAUAGGUAGCUUGCUACUGAAUUCUAGCGGCGGACGGGUGAGUAAAGCUUAGGAAUCUGCCAUUUAGUGGGGGACAACAUUCCGAAAGGGAUGCUAAUACCGCAUACGCCCUACGGGGGAAAGCAGGGGAUCUUCGAACCUCGCGCUAAAUGAUGAGCCUAGGUCUGAUUAGCUAGUUGGUGGGGUAAAGGCCUACCAAGGCGACGAUCUGUAGCGGGUCUGAGAGGAUGAUCCGCCACACUGGGACUGAGACACGGCCCAGACUCCUACGGGAGGCAGCAGUGGGGAAUAUUGGACAAUGGGCGGAAGCCUGAUCCAGCCAUGCCGCGUGUGUGAAGAAGGCCUUUUGGUUGUAAAGCACUUUAAGCGAGGAGGAGGCUACCUGGAUUAAUACUCUAGGAUAGUGGACGUUACUCGCAGAAUAAGCACCGGCUAACUCUGUGCCAGCCGCCGCAGUAACAC
rnacentral:rRNA from 1 species